UACGUAACGUUGCUGUAACGUUAUGAAAUAACGUUAUAUAAUGACGUGAUACUAACGUUGUGACAACGCUGAGUCCUGACGCAAUUGUUGUAAUU